UUAAGUUAUUAAGGGCGCACGGUGGAUGCCUUGGCACUAGAAGCCGAUGAAGGACGUUACUAACGACGAUAUGCUUUGGGGAGCUGUAAGUAAGCUUUGAUCCAGAGAUUUCCGAAUGGGGAAACCCAGCAUGAGUUAUGUCAUGUUAUCGAUAUGUGAAUACAUAGCAUAUCAGAAGGCACACCCGGAGAACUGAAACAUCUUAGUACCCGGAGGAAGAGAAAGAAAAUUCGAUUCCCUUAGUAGCGGCGAGCGAAACGGGAAGAGCCCAAACCAAAAAGCUUGCUUGUUGGGGUUGUAGGACACUCUAUACGGAGUUACAAAGGACGACAUUAGACGAAUCAUCUGGAAAGAUGAAUCAAAGAAGGUAAUAAUCCUGUAGUCGAAAAUGUUGUCUCUCUUGAGUGGAUCCUGAGUACGACGGAGCACGUGAAAUUCCGUCGGAAUCUGGGAGGACCAUCUCCUAAGGCUAAAUACUCUCUAGUGACCGAUAGUGAACCAGUACCGUGAGGGAAAGGUGAAAAGCACCCCGGAAGGGGAGUGAAAUAGAACCUGAAACCGUGUGCUUACAAGUAGUCAGAGCCCGUUAAUGGGUGAUGGCGUGCCUUUUGUAGAAUGAACCGGCGAGUUACGAUUUGAUGCAAGGUUAAGCAGUAAAUGUGGAGCCGUAGCGAAAGCGAGUCUGAAUAGGGCGUUUAGUAUUUGGUCGUAGACCCGAAACCAGGUGAUCUACCCUUGGUCAGGUUGAAGUUCAGGUAACACUGAAUGGAGGACCGAACCGACUUACGUUGAAAAGUGAGCGGAUGAACUGAGGGUAGCGGAGAAAUUCCAAUCGAACCUGGAGAUAGCUGGUUCUCUCCGAAAUAGCUUUAGGGCUAGCCUCAAGUGAUGAUUAUUGGAGGUAGAGCACUGUUUGGACGAGGGGCCCCUCUCGGGUUACCGAAUUCAGACAAACUCCGAAUGCCAAUUAAUUUAACUUGGGAGUCAGAACAUGGGUGAUAAGGUCCGUGUUCGAAAGGGAAACAGCCCAGACCACCAGCUAAGGUCCCAAAAUAUAUGUUAAGUGGAAAAGGAUGUGGCGUUGCCCAGACAACUAGGAUGUUGGCUUAGAAGCAGCCAUCAUUUAAAGAGUGCGUAAUAGCUCACUAGUCGAGUGACACUGCGCCGAAAAUGUACCGGGGCUAAACAUAUUACCGAAGCUGUGGAUUGUCCUUUGGACAAUGGUAGGAGAGCGUUCUAAGGGCGUUGAAGCAUGAUCGUAAGGACAUGUGGAGCGCUUAGAAGUGAGAAUGCCGGUGUGAGUAGCGAAAGACGGGUGAGAAUCCCGUCCACCGAUUGACUAAGGUUUCCAGAGGAAGGCUCGUCCGCUCUGGGUUAGUCGGGUCCUAAGCUGAGGCCGACAGGCGUAGGCGAUGGAUAACAGGUUGAUAUUCCUGUACCACCUAUAAUCGUUUUAAUCGAUGGGGGGACGCAGUAGGAUAGGCGAAGCGUGCGAUUGGAUUGCACGUCUAAGCAGUAAGGCUGAGUAUUAGGCAAAUCCGGUACUCGUUAAGGCUGAGCUGUGAUGGGGAGAAGACAUUGAGUCUUCGAGUCGUUGAUUUCACACUGCCGAGAAAAGCCUCUAGAUAGAAAAUAGGUGCCCGUACCGCAAACCGACACAGGUAGUCAAGAUGAGAAUUCUAAGGUGAGCGAGCGAACUCUCGUUAAGGAACUCGGCAAAAUGACCCCGUAACUUCGGGAGAAGGGGUGCUCUUUAGGGUUAACGCCCAGAAGAGCCGCAGUGAAUAGGCCCAAGCGACUGUUUAUCAAAAACACAGGUCUCUGCUAAACCGUAAGGUGAUGUAUAGGGGCUGACGCCUGCCCGGUGCUGGAAGGUUAAGAGGAGUGGUUAGCUUCUGCGAAGCUACGAAUCGAAGCCCCAGUAAACGGCGGCCGUAACUAUAACGGUCCUAAGGUAGCGAAAUUCCUUGUCGGGUAAGUUCCGACCCGCACGAAAGGCGUAACGAUUUGGGCACUGUCUCAACGAGAGACUCGGUGAAAUCAUAGUACCUGUGAAGAUGCAGGUUACCCGCGACAGGACGGAAAGACCCCGUGGAGCUUUACUGUAGCCUGAUAUUGAAAUUCGGCACAGCUUGUACAGGAUAGGUAGGAGCCUUUGAAACGUGAGCGCUAGCUUACGUGGAGGCGCUGGUGGGAUACUACCCUAGCUGUGUUGGCUUUCUAACCCGCACCACUUAUCGUGGUGGGAGACAGUGUCAAGCGGGCAGUUUGACUGGGGCGGUCGCCUCCUAAAAGGUAACGGAGGCGCUCAAAGGUUCCCUCAGAAUGGUUGGAAAUCAUUCAUAGAGUGUAAAGGCAUAAGGGAGCUUGACUGCGAGACCUACAAGUCGAGCAGGGUCGAAAGACGGACUUAGUGAUCCGGUGGUUCCGCAUGGAAGGGCCAUCGCUCAACGGAUAAAAGCUACCCCGGGGAUAACAGGCUUAUCUCCCCCAAGAGUUCACAUCGACGGGGAGGUUUGGCACCUCGAUGUCGGCUCAUCGCAUCCUGGGGCUGUAGUCGGUCCCAAGGGUUGGGCUGUUCGCCCAUUAAAGCGGUACGCGAGCUGGGUUCAGAACGUCGUGAGACAGUUCGGUCCCUAUCCGUCGUGGGCGUAGGAAAUUUGAGAGGAGCUGUCCUUAGUACGAGAGGACCGGGAUGGACAUACCUCUGGUGUACCAGUUGUCGUGCCAACGGCAUAGCUGGGUAGCUAUGUGUGGACGGGAUAAGUGCUGAAAGCAUCUAAGCAUGAAGCCCCCCUCAAGAUGAGAUUUCCCAACUUCGGUUAUAAGAUCCCUCAAAGAUGAUGAGGUUAAUAGGUUCGAGGUGGAAGCAUGGUGACAUGUGGAGCUGACGAAUACUAAUCGAUCGAAGACUUAGAUAU
rnacentral:rRNA from 1 species